GGAUGGAUGUACAUAACGUGUGCGUAUGUUUUAGAAAAUGGGCUUCACUGGUCCUUCAUCAGCUAAAUUCAAAGACAUACGCACACGUUAUGUACAUCCAUCCUACUCGAAGAAAUAGACUAUAGCAUUCUUGCAACUCGUAUAAAUCCUGAUGUCCUAUGAUCAACAGCUACUAAAAACUCUUAAAGCAUUUUAGUGUACAACAUAAUAAUAUCCACAAGACCUAUACAAAGAUAUAUACAACUUGAUUUUUUUAUGUGUUGGGUAAUAACUAUGGAAAUGGAUGCAAAUUCCCAUUGAUGAUAAGCAGCUCUGUUUGUGAUCCAUUUACUCUUUGUUUUUGGAGGAUUGGUCUUUCCUGUGUCCACCAAGAAUACGGGAAAUCUGUAGACCUCUGCUAAAUGCUUGGUUGAACAGCAUACGUGUUUGGAACUCGGAAACAAAUGGGAACCAAGCCAAGAAUGCAACAGGUGUGAAUAGAAGCAAACCCAUGAUUAUUUCGUAACCACGAGCUAGCGUCCGUACUGAUCCCCAAAAUCCAGCAUUUUGUAUCACAGGCUUACAAGCUUGUGCAAUCAGUAGCAGUCCCCAUCCAGUAGGCAUGAAUGCAAGAAUGCAGACCAAGACGUCUCGAAGUGUCAUAUGUGGGAGUGCUAUCAAAGUAAUGAAUAUUGAAACAAAAGUCACGAAUAUGAGGCCCUUUAUUAGCCGAAACAAUAGUUGGAAGUUUGCACUCAGUCUUCUCCUUCCAACAGACAUAGCCUUCAUUAAUAACAAUAUUACAAUGAUAACAAGCCAUGAAACACCAUACCAUAGACCAGAAAACUUUUGGUAUUUUUAAUGAUGCUGAGGUGAUACACAAGGCCAUACUGAAAGAUGAAAAAGCGCAAUGCCAACAAUAUCUCCACAAUGAUACCGCGCUUCCCAGAAUAUCGANNNNNNNNNNNCCUUUUCCCACCAGGAUUCCCAACUUUUUUCUGGAGGCACACCAAUACCUCCACGGUUAUCUAUCCACUUGUUCCAAUCCGUCCAGUCAUCAACAAUCUUUUGCCACUCAAACCCUGAUGGAUUGAAAAGGAAAGGAGCAAAAAGCCAUGUCCCCACCAUGAACCACAUGGAUACAGUGAUUAAGAUGUAUGCAACUACACCUCUAUAUGAAUGUCCAAAAAUAUGGUACACCAGUAGCAGAAUCAUCAGUUCAAUCCCUUUGACAAAAUGGCUGCGGGAAUACAUCCUAUAGUUAUCAGCAAACUUGGCAUGGAACACUACAAAACCACGACCAGUACCUCGGUAUUGUGCACCCCCAUGAAGCAAUGUCCUUCCAUAAUAAUGAGUCUUUGUUCCAAGAGAAAAUGUGAAAAAUACAGGGGCCAAUUGUAAUUGCAUCAAUAUGAAAUCACUUAAUGCACUACGGAAUCCCCUUUCCAAACCCAUUUCCAUCAUCAUUGGCAAGGCCAUCAAGAACCCAAUCUGCACCAAUGACUGAGAAGCAAGAGCUACUUGAAGAGGCUUGUUGUCUCUAAUAGCUGGUUGAGUAAUCAGCCCUUCUUCAAGUCCACUAAGAACAAGAUAAAGGCGGCCGUAAAGAAAUACAUACACUAUGAGCACAGUUAACAAGGUACUGAAAUAGAAACCAACAGUAGUAAAAUAGCAAGACAGCAUUCUGAAAAAGUCAAAUCGAUGUCCCAGCCUGUAAAUGUCGCGACUCAAUGUCUGUUCACCAUUUCCAUUAGCUAUCUUUGCCUCAAACAUAGAAAUCUGAUUAAGGCCCACAUCCCUUCCUUUACCAACUUGAAUGUAUUCAUGAUGAGUGAUGUUGCCUUCACGUAAUGUUGAAUUGAAACCUGCAAAUAUGUCCUCGCUUAAAUUGAUGACUUUAGAAGCUUUGCUGACACCCCCUCUAGUCAAGUGAAACAGUCUAUCAAACACGUCUGGAUGACCAUAGUGGAACCGCACUUUCAAAGGAUUAGCCAACAAUCUCUGCCCAAUGGUAACAAAACUAGUCUCCUGAUUUGACAUAAACCAUGCAAG
rnacentral:misc_RNA from 1 species